AAUAAACAUUACUAUACAGUAUUUUUGUAAACUGCAGUGAGCACGCGGGGACUUUUAUCCGUCUUCAUAACCUUAACAGUGAUUAAUACGCAAAAUGCACCACUGUGUUGUGCAGCUGGAUUUCAGACUCGGGUUGAAUUAUUCCCAGUUACCGGGCGGUAAAUCGGGAUAAAUUCAGAAAAGAGCACAAGGCUGUAAGAGUAUCAAAGCGGACGUGUCUCCAGUCUACUUAAAAAAUAAAUAGAUUUUAAGUAGGACUUUAUAUAAGUAAUACAGACCACAGACACACACAAACAUCGCAUACACACACUCACAACACACACAUCACACACAUGCAUAUUCAUUAAAAAAUACUAUAUAUACUUGGGUGUUUUCUGUCAUUCACGUUGUCUUUCUUUCCAGAGUAAUUUUUUUUACAUUUAGAUGUAUUUCCAUGCAUGUAAUAAGCUUUGGGCUUUUGGUUGACCAUUGUUUUUAUUUUAUACAAAUGUUCUGUAAAUAAGAA